rnacentral:rRNA from 1 species
AUUGAACGCUGGCGGCAGGCCUAACACAUGCAAGUCGAGCGGAUGAGGGGAGCUUGCUCCUUGAUUCAGCGGCGGACGGGUGAGUAAUGCCUAGGAAUCUGCCUGGUAGUGGGGGAUAACGUUCCGAAAGGAACGCUAAUACCGCAUACGUCCUACGGGAGAAAGCAGGGGACCUUCGGGCCUUGCGCUAUCAGAUGAGCCUAGGUCGGAUUAGCUAGUUGGUGAGGUAAUGGCUCACCAAGGCGACGAUCCGUAACUGGUCUGAGAGGAUGAUCAGUCACACUGGAACUGAGACACGGUCCAGACUCCUACGGGAGGCAGCAGUGGGGAAUAUUGGACAAUGGGCGAAAGCCUGAUCCAGCCAUGCCGCGUGUGUGAAGAAGGUCUUCGGAUUGUAAAGCACUUUAAGUUGGGAGGAAGGGCAGUAAGUUAAUACCUUGCUGUUUUGACGUUACCAACAGAAUGAGCACCGGCUAACUUCGUGCCAGCCGCCGCCGUAA